rnacentral:rRNA from 1 species
GAUGAACGCUGGCGGCGUGCCUAAUACAUGCAAGUCGAGCGAACAGACGAGGAGCUUGCUCCUCUGACGUUAGCGGCGGACGGGUGAGUAACACGUGGAUAACCUACCUAUAAGACUGGGAUAACUUCGGGAAACCGGAGCUAAUACCGGAUAAUAUAUUGAACCGCAUGGUUCAAUAGUGAAAGACGGUUUUGCUGUCACUUAUAGAUGGAUCCGCGCCGCAUUAGCUAGUUGGUAAGGUAACGGCUUACCAAGGCAACGAUGCGUAGCCGACCUGAGAGGGUGAUCGGCCACACUGGAACUGAGACACGGUCCAGACUCCUACGGGAGGCAGCAGUAGGUAAUCUUCCGCAAUGGGCGAAAGCCUGACGGAGCGACGCCGCGUGAGUGAUGAAGGUCUUCGGAUCGUAAAACUCUGUCAUUAGGGAAGAACAAAUGUGUAAGUAACUAUGCACGUCUUGACGGUACCUAAUCAGAAAGCCACGGCUAACUACGUG